rnacentral:lncRNA from 1 species
CACUAUAAUUUCCAAAAUCAUUAUAGUUUCCACCACCACCAUAGUUACCUGAAAUUGCAAAGAUUUUAUUUGUAGCUGACCUACAGAAGUUUUUAAUACAUACAUGCAUUGCAUUAUCUUUUGAGAAUCACGGCACCAUCCUGACACACACAAUCCUUUAAGAUUUCACAGAACUAUCAAACUCUUUCCACCAGAAAGAUCUCAGACAUACACAGGAGAGGAAGAGAGAGUGAAAAUUGGCUCAAGAGACUAGACAGCUACCAGUCUUCAUAUUAAAUGCUACACUCUGGAACAUUCUCUUCACAACACUAAACACCAUAAAAUCUGAUAGAUUCACUGUAGCUGAAACAGUAUAACUUCUAAGUCACUAAUAAAAAGCAUUUCAAAUUGACUAUUAGGAAAAACCUGUUGAUACAGCAAUACAAUUCAAAAUUGAAUACACUCAUAAUAAUGUUCUUUAAAGUAUCAUGGAGUAUGGAGUAAUGAGUCUGAAACACCACUGACAUAUUUUUAAUCACCUAAAUCCUGAUAACACCUAUUCAACAUGUCUGCAUAUUCAAUUUAUAGUUACCAUCUGUCCAGCUUAAAAGUGCCUAAAGUAAAAAUCCAGGCAACAAACAUUACUGUUAAAUGUCCUAUUUCAAUAUGCAGAACAUGUGAAUACGUUUUGCAAAUUUACUAAAUCGCAACAGUGUAAAAAAAUUCAGUUUAACUCUCCACUAUUUGAGUAUUUUCUAUUAUAAAAUGUGAAAUUUCAUGUUUUAANNNNNNNNNNNNNNNNNNNNNNNNNNNNNNNNNNNNNAUUUCCAAAAUCAUUAUAGUUUCCACCACCACCAUAGUUACCUCCAAAAUUUCCUCCUUCAUUGUAACCAUAUCUUCCACCACCGCCACCACAUCCACCACCUUGGUUUCCAUAUCCUGGUCCACCACCACCAUAACCUCCUCUACUACUAUAACCAGGACCAUCACCAUAGUUGCCACCAUCACCUCCAAAUCCAUUAUAUCCACCACCUUGGUUUCCAUAUCCUCCUGGUCCACCACCACCGUAACCUCCUCUACUACUAUAACCAGGACCACCGCCAUAGUUGCCACCUAGAAAAACAAAUUGAAUUUUUAGACAAAAACAAACGUACAGUCAAAUUAUAGAAUGCCAGUUUACUGUGCUCUUAAGCCCCAGGAAAACAGGCCAAUUAACACACUAAAACUUGGUGAUAUCUGGUUAAUAAAUAGAGCAGCUACAAUCUGGGCUAUUAACCACUAACAUGAAAACUUAAAUCUUUUGAUAUUAAAAAACUGUUCCAUUUUUUUAAAAAUCUAAGAAAUACAGAGUAAACAGUCUCCUCUGAGAAAAAUAAUUCCA